UACGAAGGGGGCUAGCGUUGUUCGGAAUUACUGGGCGUAAAGCGCACGUAGGCGGAUAUUUAAGUCAGGGGUGAAAUCCCGGGGCUCAACCCCGGAACUGCCUUUGAUACUGGGUAUCUCGAGUCCGAGAGAGGUGAGUGGAAUUCCGAGUGUAGAGGUGAAAUUCGUAGAUAUUCGGAGGAACACCAGUGGCGAAGGCGGCUCACUGGCCCGAUACUGACGCUGAGGCACGAAAGCGUGGGGAGCAAACAGG
rnacentral:rRNA from 1 species